rnacentral:rRNA from 1 species
GUGAUGACGAGUUUGAUCCUGGCUCAGGAUCAACGCUGGCGGCGUGCCUAAUGCAUGCAAGUCGCACGAACGUCCUUCGGGACGUUAGUGGCGAACGGCUGAGGAACACGUGCGUACCUGCCUGUUCGUGGGGAAUACCGGGUGGAAACACCCGCUAAUACCGCGUACGCUCCUGCGGGAGGAAAGCCUUCGGGCGCGGACAGUGGGGCGCGCGGCCCA